UCCGGGGGAAGCUCACCACCGAGGCCACCUACUGGGUGUCCGUCACCCAACGCUCCGCCUCGGGGAAGGUCUGAGGGAAGGGCCGCCGGCGGCUCUAGCAGAGCCCCGCCCGCGAGGGGGCGGGUGAGCCACCAGCAAGGGGGGGCGCCGUGUAUGCAUGGGCCGGCCUGGGCAGGAGAAGCCGCGGGCGGAGUCAGAAGGGGGGGCACCGCCUUCCCCCGCUGCACAUAAGCCCCGGCGGAUGCUCGUGGCCCCGCGGUGCUUUGGGACAGACUCACGGCCGGCAAUCGUUGAGUUCAAUGGGUGAGGUGGGGCAUCGCCCUACAACCCAAUUCAGACUACUCUCCCCCGGA
rnacentral:RNase_P_RNA from 1 species